rnacentral:lncRNA from 1 species
AAACACUGAUAGUUUUGCUUAAUAGUAUCUAAUCUGUUGAAGGUAAAUAAACAAUUAGUUUAUAUGUAUAGGUUUCUUUCACUGAUCAAGUAGUAAGUACGGACUUUAACUUGUUUACUGGUGAAGCCUAAAGAAGUUAUUACAGGAAAAUAAACUUCAAUCUUUGAAAAUCAUUUAAACUUUCUUCUGACAACGAAGAUGCCCGCAGUUCGAUGUCCCGUCCCUGGAUGUGAUUAUAUCACGGAUGACCUGGAUUCUACCAUCGUUGUUGCACUCAUUAACGCACACAGUGCAUCCCACACCGGUGGAGAAGCCGCCAAGGUGGAAUCGGCCAGACGUUCAAUUGCAACUGCCUCUGGAUCAAACGAGGAUUCGGCUGUCCCACUAACGUCAGGAACGACCGAACGCUCUAGAUCACAGUACAUCCAGGGAAGAUGCACACACCGUCAGACAUGUCCAGGGAUAUGCUAUAAGUACAACGGCAAUGGGUGUGAGAAAGCUGAUUCAUGUCCUUACAUACAUAUGUGCAAGAGCUACGUAGAAAGUAGAUGCACAUCUGGAAAAGAGUGUAGUAAAAGUCACGACAUCUUUAAUCCUGCAGUAAAGGCAAAGCUUGAAAAACAUAGGAAUAAAUACGAAGAGAAGACCAAGAGAAGUUCUUGCUGACUUCCAAUCAAUCUUACAAGAUGAUGAAUGCGGGAAUUCAAAAGCGGAGAAAAUAAUCAAGGAAACGUCAAAACAUACUGCUCCAAAGAUAUGUUACGGUUAUAACGGCAAUGGGUGUGGAAGAGCUGGCUCUUGCUCUUUUAUACAUAUGUGCAGGAGCUACGUGGAGCGUAGGUGUGAAUCUGGGAAAGAGUGUAGUAAAAGUCAUGAUAUCUGCAACCCCGCAGUAAAAUCAGUGCUUGAAAAACAUGGUAUAGAUACAAAGAGAAGACCAAGAGAAAUUCUUGCUGACUUACAGGCGGCCGUGAAAGGUUACGAAAGCAAGAGCAACCUUGAUGAAACGGAAAUAACAACAGGUCCUGGAUUUCCAAGACCUUCAUUGCCGCGAGAAAGACAAAGGCCCCUGCCUGGAAAAAGUCAGCCUUGUUUGUCUAUAUAUACACCAAGACCAGCUGGGCCCCAGACAGGCAAGAAGCCACCUCGAGCAAAAUCAGCACAGAGAUCUGCUGAUCCCCA